UCCCUCAUAGAUCAGUUGGUAAAGAAUCUGCCUGCAAUGCAGGAGACCUGGGUUCGAUUCCUGGGUCAGGGAG
rfam:Ovis aries breed Texel chromosome 4, whole genome shotgun sequence.